UAAUAUUGUAGUUUGUUUAUUAGUGAAUUUCUUUUUUAUAUCAUUGGUACAAAAUUGUCGGGUUCAAACUCAACUGCAUGAGUAGAGAAGAGAGAUCUAGUUGUCAUGGGUUAGUAUAUUUAUAAAUUUAGUUACAAAAUUUAUGACUGCUAAAACGUACAAGUAUUAUUACAAGUACAAACAAAAAGACACCAGUGAGCUCAAUAUCAUUAUAUAUUAAGAGCAUCCAAGCCCAGUACUCUGCCUCAGGGUUUGAUAUAGGGAAAGCUGGGAGAUGAAACGGGAGAUUGGAAAGUGAAACAGAUAUCACAGAAGAAAGAUGAAAGAUAAAAGAGUGCACUUUUUGUCACCUGUGGGUAAUGGUGAAGUCCCAAAUGGGUGCUGUUUCUUUAUCUGACUGCAAGCUAUUUGCCUAUGCCCUGCACUCAAAAGAGAUUCCCCCAAAACCCUAUUAUUAUUUUUCUCCCUUUCUCCCCGUUCUCUGCCGUAAGCAUUUUUCUCUGGUUUCAUGUUUUUAAAAGAAAAUUUUCCGUAUUUGUGCAAGCAAAUUCUGAGAGAUGCAACUAAAUGUUAUUAGCCGGAACAGGUAUGGGUAUGCAUCUUCAAUUAAUGAAUCCAUCAACGAUCCAUUUCCGGCAACUACGUUACAGAUUUAUAAGUCGCAAGCUGACUGUAGCAGCCCGCCCUCCAAUAAUAGGCCAUUUACAAAUCCCGAGGGCUUUGUCCUUACAGUAGGUCUUCAUUGAUUUACCAAACUUAU
rnacentral:lncRNA from 1 species